CGUCCCCUGGGCCCCGCUGCCCACCGCAGGGAGGGCCAGGUGGUGAGGACAGAGCGCCUGGGCCGUGUGGGGAGCAAGAGGCCCCGCCGGCAGCUCUGAGCAGCGCCUCCGUCUCCGGCCCGGCCCCCGCCAGCCGUGCGGUCCUCCCCGGACGAGGCCGCCGGACACCUACCUAGCUCGUGUCCCUCUUCCCAAGCACUCGGGCGGGGGCGCCCGGACGAGAGGGAGCUGAAGGAGCUCAUCCAGACGGGGCCCCCGGGGCCUUCCCAGCCCUUGUUCAUUCUCGGCCUGAUGGGUCCAUGCUUGGAGAGGCGGGGUGCUCCCAGCCAGGGGUCCAGUCCUUCCCAGCAAGGAGCGGCAGGGCGAGGAGUAAAGCCGAGGUGGAGCCAAGGCGGACGCCCUUCCUUGGUGACAAAGCUGUGCCACGCUGAGAUGGAAGCAGUCCUGCCGGACAUGGACCGGAACAGGGACCGCAUCGCGGACUUCGGGAGUAUUUCACCUUCCUGGGGACUUUGGCUUGGAUCUACAGUGAAUCCCUCAAGGAGAACAAAUAAAUUGGGAACGUGGAGGUGCCUUCUGGGGACCUGAGUCAAAUCUGGCUGUGGGUAAUUGUUCAAUAAACUUUGGGUCAGAUCUCUUGUGCCCUGGCUUCCCAGUGGUUUCUGAUUUCUCCUUGGCUGGUGCUGUAACAGCCAGCAGAAGUCUGCUUCACGGUUGACCUCUGAGAGCCACCCAGUGACUCUCCAGGCCUGGGACCCACUGCAGGGAGCUGUUGUCUGCACUAGGAAAGACGCCCCUCUUGGCAAAGGCAUCCUAAGGACAGGGCCUCAAGUGCUUUUGAGUGAGAGGAUCUGGGCUGGGCCUGGAGAAGGAGCGGGGCCUGGGC
rnacentral:lncRNA from 1 species